rnacentral:misc_RNA from 1 species
GAUGAAGAACGUAGCGAAAUGCGAUAAGUAAUGUGAAUUGCAGAAUUCAGUGAAUCAUCGAAUCUUUGAACGCAUCUUGCGCUCCUUGGUAUUCUGAGCAGCAUGCCUGUUUGAGUGUCAUUAAAUUCUCAACUACACUGACUUUGAAUUGGUGUGGCUUGGAUUUGGGGGGAAAAUUGUUGUGGGCUUUUUGUAUAGUCUGCUCCCCUGAAAUUGAUUAGCGGUACCUUUGUGGAACUGUCUACAGGUGUGAUAAUUAUCUACAUCUUAGACAUCUGCUGGAAUGCUGCUUUCUAAACCUUACUUGUAUUGACAAUCUUGACCUCAAAUCAGGUAGGACUACCCGCUGAACUUAAGCAUAUCAAUAAGCGGAGGA